rnacentral:lncRNA from 1 species
CUUUUUUGUGUGUGGGGGGAGGAUUGGCCUUGAGUUAAUAUCUUCCUCUAUUUGCCUAAGGAAGUUUGUUGCUGAGCUAACAUCUGCAGCAGAUCCUCCUCCAUUUUAGGUGGGAUGCUGCCGGAGUGUGACUUGACGAGCAGUGCUAGGUCCUUGCCUGGGAUCCAAAUCUGAGAAUCUUGGGCUGCUGAAGCAGAGCCCAGUAACUUGACCACUACACCAUCAGAGCAGCCCCAUUUAGGUUCUUUAUAAAAGAAUUAAAAUAUGUAAUUCCAAAAUCUUUCAAGACUCAAAAGUUGAUACAGGAGGUCUCACAAGACAUGUUCCGACUACUAAUAUUAUUGAUGUUCCGGAACCUUCAAACUGUACUGCUGAUCCCCAGUUUUCUUCAGGCACAGACAGGGAGACUUGGGGAAUUUUACAAACAAAUGGAGAGAAUUCAUUUGACUGGAUGUUUGAAGACAUGUGAACAUAUGAGAGAGAGAGAGAGAUGGGAUCAAAGCCCAGGUGGAAUCAAUCAAUCAUCUAUCAAUAUAAUCUACUCAUCUGUCUUCUAAACAUUUAUAUACCUAUAUUUACAUUUUCAAUUUGUUUUUAUAGUAUUUGACAAAUUAAAAAUUCC